CCGGAGCCUGUGAGCUAAGCACUCACGCACCGCCCCACACGACCAAGCGCGAGGCUCUGGCCGCCAUCUUGAGUGAGGGCAGCGCUGGACUCCCUGGUGCCUCCCCAGCUCGUCUGGUCCUCACCCAACAGCCCCCUCUGCUGUUCGCUCGGAGGAAUAAAACAGUGAAAAUUACAAACUGUAAAAAGGAAGACAAAUCUUGUCUCCAACAUUU